UACAGAGGGUGCGAGCGUUAAUCGGAAUUACUGGGCGUAAAGCGUGCGUAGACGGUUGCGUAAGUCGGAUGUGAAAUCCCCGGGCUCAACCUGGGAAUUGCAUUCGAGACUGCGUAGCUGGGGUGCGGAAGAGGGAAGCGGAAUUUCCGGUGUAGCGGUGAAAUGCGUAGAUAUCGGAAGGAACAUCAGUGGCGAAAGCGGCUUCCUGGUCCAGCACCGACGUCAGGCACGAAAGCGUGGGGAGC
rnacentral:rRNA from 1 species